GGCUACGACGAAUGCGGAAAAUUAAUGGAAACUCACGCAACGAACGUUCCGCGGCUCGCUCACCCUCUCCGAUGUCUCUCCAUUGUUCCAUCUCCUUUCUUUUACUCUCUUUUCCACGGGCGAUCGUUGUUGAUCGAGUGAAACCGUGAGCGAGUGUUGGUAUUUGCACUAUUGCAAUUCCGAUUCUAUUGCCACCUGGUAAUGAUUGUCACCGUCCGCUCUGACGAGUGACGACGGUAAUUGAAAAGCACAUUUGUCGUAAGUUUGCCUGAAACAAUGAGGCAAUUUCAUUGUGAAAAUUGAAAGAGGAAAAACCAAACAAAAAAACAUGUUUUCGAGUCCAACCAAUACGCACAAUGUAAUAAAUUAGCUUAAUUGUAA